CUCACAGUUGUGCUUUGAGCGGCAAUAUCAUCACACAAAAACCCUAGAGGCGAUAUCUUCUACCUCCUCCAGAUUUCAAUCUCCCUCUUCCGGAUCAGUGAACAAUCGACGGUAAUCUCAGUGGUUUAUUUAUCCUCUGCCUCUCUCUCUCUCUCUCUCUCUCUCUCUCUCUGAAGAUCAUCGGCGACUAACCUCAAUCGAAGCUUAGGGUUUGAAAUUUAGUUUCUUCAACGACUGGUUCAAAUAUGAGAAUCUAAAUCGACUAUGGGCAAGCUUCAGUACUCAUAGAAGUAUUUUGAUGAUAUAAUUGAUCACAAGUUGCAUGUUUUUCUUACUCAUGAAGUUGUGAAGCUUUUUCCAAAGAAUUGACUUAUACCCGAGGUAUAACAGUAUAAGCUUAAACGUUACUGAUUAAUGGAUUUUGAAAGCAAGAUUUUUGGAAAAGGAAAUAGAUAUUACAAGUUUUCAAGACAAAGCUAGAUCUGUGGAUGACAAUUUUUUUUGUUAAUGGAUGCCGCUUGGAGCCGAACUGAUGAGGAAUGAAAAUAUAGUAAGGUGCCUUUACCCUGGAACGGGAUGCAGAAGUCUUAGAAUCGAAGCGGAAGAAUGAAGAACUGAAAUAGUUUUUCAUGUGAAGUGUAGCCGGAAGGAUACCAACAAAAGUGGAGCUGGAUAAGAGAGGAGUGCAAUGGGAAAUGUGUUGUGCCCUUGCUUCGGAUACCUACCAGAAUUAGUGGACCAUGUAUUGGUUUCAUGCAAACUCGCGAAAUCGAUUUGGUGGGGAACUGGAGUGUGGCUUGGGUUGAACAAUCUUUCAGCAUGUUCAACUAUCUAAGAAGUGAUCAAAUCUGUGAUGGAUGAACAUUAUCUAAGAGGCAAAGGAAGGCUACACUGUGUGUUGUCUUGGCUGUACUGUGGAAGAUUGUCAAUGCCUCAUUAAGUUCGUCUUAUCUGUGGAAUACAUGUAAGUUGCUGAGACUAACAAAAAACAUGAGGUUAACAGUUGGAAGUUCAGCAUCAGACGCUGAAGAAAUAAAACAAUUUGCAAAAUGGCUUUUGGAUAUAGGUGAGGGAAAUGUUGGUGGUCCAAAUGAUGGAGAAGCAUCAAUUGAAAUACCAAGCGAUCUUCUGAUCACUGAUACAUCGGACCCCAUUUCAACUUUAAUUGAUUUUAUCGAGAGUUAAAACCAGACAAGGAGUUAAACUUCU
rnacentral:lncRNA from 1 species